rnacentral:rRNA from 1 species
AACGAACGCUGGCGGCAUGCCUAACACAUGCAAGUCGAACGAGACCUUCGGGUCUAGUGGCGCACGGGUGCGUAACGCGUGGGAACCUGCCCUUAGGUUCGGAAUAACUCCCCGAAAGGGGUGCUAAUACCGGAUAAUGUCUUCGGACCAAAGAUUUAUCGCCUUUGGAUGGGCCCGCGUUGGAUUUGCUAGUUGGUAGGGUAAAAGCCUACCAAGGCGACGAUCCAUAGCUGGUCUGAGAGGAUGAUCAGCCACACUGGGACUGAGACACGGCCCAGACUCCUACGGGAGGCAGCAGUGGGGAAUAUUGGACAAGGGGCGAAAGCCUGAUCCAGCAAUGCCGCGUGAGUGAUGAAGGCCUUAGGGUUGUAAAGCUCUUUUACCCGGGAUGAUAAUGACAGUACCGGGAGAAUAAGCUCCGGCUAACUCCGUG